GCCGAGCGGUAUAUUUCUUUCGGGAAAUAGAGAGCGGCGUACGGGUGCGGAACACGUGUGCAACCUGCCUUUAUCAGGGGGAUAGCCUUUCGAAAGGAAGAUUAAUACCCAAUAAUAUAUGAUUCGGCAUCGGAUUAUAUUGAAAACUAUAUUUGGUUACAGAUGGG
rnacentral:rRNA from 1 species